rnacentral:snRNA from 1 species
AUACUGAUCUGGCAGGGGAGAUACCAUGAUCAAGAAGGUGGUUUUCCCAGGGCGAGGCUUAUCCAUUGCACUCCGGAUGUGCUGACAUUUGCAAUUUCCCCAAAUGCGGGAAACUCAACUGCAUAAUUUGUGGUAGUGGGGGACUGUGUUCGCAGUCUCCCCUA